GAUGAAGAACGCAGCGAAAUGCGAUAAGUAGUGUGAAUUGCAGAAUUCAGUGAAUCAUCGAAUCUUUGAACGCACAUUGCGCCCCUUGGUAUUCCAUGGGGCAUGCCUGUUCGAGCGUCAUUUGUACUUUCAAGCUUUGCUUGGUGUUGGGUGUUUGUCUCGCCUUUGCGUGUAGACUCGCCUUAAAGUAAUUGGCAGCCGGCGUAUUGAUUUCGGAGCGCAGUACAUCUCGCGCUUUGCACUCAUAACGACAGCGUCCAAAAGUACAUUUUACACUCUUGACCUCGGAUCAGGUAGGGAUACCCGCUGAACUUAAGCAUAUCAAUAAGCGGAGGA
rnacentral:misc_RNA from 1 species